GACGAACGCUGGCGGCGUGCCUAAUACAUGCAAGUAGAACGCUGAAGGAGGAGCUUGCUUCUCUGGAUGAGUUGCGAACGGGUGAGUAACGCGUAGGUAACCUGCCUGGUAGCGGGGGAUAACUAUUGGAAACGAUAGCUAAUACCGCAUAAUAUUGACUAUUGCAUGAUAGUCAGUUGAAAGGUGCAACUGCACCACUACCAGAUGGACCUGCGUUGUAUUAGCUAGUUGGUGGGGUAACGGCUCACCAAGGCGACGAUACAUAGCCGACCUGAGAGGGUGAUCGGCCACACUGGGACUGAGACACGGCCCAGACUCCUACGGGAGGCAGCAGUAGGGGAUCUUCGGCAAUGGACGGAAGGCUGACCGAGCAACGCCGCGUGAGUGAAGAAGGUUUUCGGAUCGUAAAGCUCUGUUGUAAGAGAAGAACGAGUGUGAGAGUGGAAAGCUCACACUGUGACGGUAUCUUACCAGAAAGGGACGGCUAACUACGUG
rnacentral:rRNA from 1 species